UACGUAGGGUGCAAGCGUUGUCCGGAAUUAUUGGGCGUAAAGAGCUCGUAGGCGGUUUGUUGCGUCGGCUGUGAAAUCCCGAGGCUCAACCUCGGGUCUGCAGUCGAUACGAGCAAACUAGAGUGUUGCAGGGGAGACUGGAAUUCCUGGUGUAGCGGUGAAAUGCGCAGAUAUCAGGAGGAACACCGGUGGCGAAGGCGGGUCUCUGCGCAACAACUGACGCUGAGGAGCGAAAGCGUGGGGAGCGAACAGG
rnacentral:rRNA from 1 species